UGCAAGUGUGCAACCCGUGUUAGGUCCGGCGCGAAGAAGAAGAAGAAGAAGAAGAAGAAGAAGAAGAAGAAGAAGAAGAAGAAGAAGAAGAAGAAGAAAGGAGAGAGGAACAGUAACCCGCUACAUUAUCGGAUAGACGAACCUGAAACAAACCAGCCAUGCAUAGCUGAUAAUAAAGCAAGUUGGAGGGGAGAAAGAACAGUAAAAUGCAGGACGUGUCACACGGAGAAGGCAGUAGGAGGGCGGUGA
rnacentral:lncRNA from 1 species